rnacentral:rRNA from 1 species
GAUGAACGCUGGCGGCGUGCCUAAUACAUGCAAGUCGAGCGAACGGACGAGAAGCUUGCUUCUCUGAUGUUAGCGGCCGACGGGUGAGUAACACGUGGAUAACCUACCUAUAAGACUGGGAUAACUUCGGGAAACCGUAGCUAAUACCGGAUAAUAUUUUGAACCGCAUGGUUCAAAAGUGAAAGACGGUCUUGCUGUCACUUAUAGAUGGAUCCGCGCUGCAUUAGCUAGUUGGUAAGGUAACGGCUUACCAAGGCAACGAUGCAUAGCCGACCUGAGAGGGUGAUCGGCCACACUGGAACUGAGACACGGUCCAGACUCCUACGGGAGGCAGCAGUAGGGAAUCUUCCGCAAUGGGCGAAAGCCUGACGGAGCAACGCCGCGUGAGUGAUGAAGUGCUUCGGAUCGUAAAACUCUGUUAUUAGGGAAGAACAUAUGUGUAAGUAACUGUGCACAUCUUGACGGUACCUAAUCAGAAAGCCACGGCUAACUACGUG